rnacentral:rRNA from 1 species
UACGUAGGGGCCUAGCGUUGUCCGGAAUUAUUGGGCGUAAAGAGCUUGUAGGCGGUUUGUCGCGUCUGCUGUGAAAUUUCGGGGCUCAACCCCGAACUUGCAGUGGGUACGGGCAGACUAGAGUGUGGUAGGGGAGACUGGAAUUCCUGGUGUAGCGGUGAAAUGCGCAGAUAUCAGGAGGAACACCGAUGGCGAAGGCAGGUCUCUGGGCCACUACUGACGCUGAGAAGCGAAAGCAUGGGGAGCGAACAGG